rnacentral:rRNA from 1 species
AGUCGAGGGGCAGCGGGGCGGCAGGCUUGCCUGCCGUUGCCGGCGACCGGCGCACGGGUGAGUAACACGUAUGCAACCUGCCCGUGGCAGGGGGAUAAGCGGGGGAAACCCCGUCUAAUACCGCGUAACGCGGCCUAGGGACAUCCCAAGGCCGCCAAAGGGAGCAAUCCCGGCCACGGAUGGGCAUGCGGCGCAUUAGCUAGUCGGCGGGGUAACGGCCCACCGAGGCGACGAUGCGUAGGGGUUCUGAGAGGAAGGCCCCCCACACUGGUACUGAGACACGGACCAGACUCCUACGGGAGGCAGCAGUGAGGAAUAUUGGUCAAUGGGCGCGAGCCUGAACCAGCCAAGUCGCGUGAGGGAGGACGGCCCUACGGGUUGUAAACCUCUUUUGCCGGGGAGCAACGGGCGCCACGUGUGGCGCCACUGAGAGUACCCGGAGAAAAAGCAUCGGCUAACUCCGUGCCAGCAGCCGCGGUAAUACGGAGGAUGCGAGCGUUAUCCGGAUUUAUUGGGUUUAAAGGGUGCGUAGGCGGAUCGUUAAGUCAGUGGUCAAAUUGAGGGGCUCAACCCCUUCCCGCCAUUGAAACUGGCGAUCUUGAGUGGAAGAGAAGUAUGCGGAACGCGUGGUGUAGCGGUGAAAUGCAUAGAUAUCACGCAGAACCCCGAUUGCGAAGGCAGCAUGCCGGCUUCCUACUGACGCUGAAGCACGAAAGC